CAAGAGCAGCCUGUGCUAAUCAGACCACAGCCAGGAACAGGACUGGCCGCUCCUUGUGCUUGACCUGGGGCACCUGGCUUCCUGUCCCAGCUCAGGAGGCUGGCUCUGAGGAUGUUAGAAGCAUGCAGAAAUAAACUUGUCCUGUAGCGUCCAGGGAAGAAGUGGAGCAUCUCGGACAAGAACAUGCUAGAGAACUUCUGAAGGAGUUGGAUUCUUCCUCUAGAAGUUGGGUGGAGCGGGACUUUGUCCUGCUCUCAGUCUCACUAGAUGCCCCCUUCAGCAAGCCUCGGAUUGCCCUGGCUUUUCCUCCUCGUCCCUGCGUUUUCCAUAUCUCAAAGGAAGAGACUGCACUGUGCCCGAGCCCACGCUGGCUUCUUAAUGCUCCAUCCCAGCCAUCCAUUCCUAUUCUUUUAAUGUCUUUUGCUCAAAUGAUUCCUCUUGAAUCCCACCUCCUUCGUUGCAAAAACUCCAUACAUUCUCUCCAACAGGAGAAGGAUCAAUUUCUCCUUUGCUUCUUUGCAAACACCCCCAAAACACAAGUUUCGUUCUCCUAAAAGAGGAACCUCAGCCCCUGCAUCCUAUCCAGCUCCUAGCAUCUCCGACUAGACCCCACAGGACCCUGAGGCCAUGGCCCAGUCUCCAGACCCAUUCCAGCCCACCCUGUCCUUCUCCACACCACAGCCAGAGCAGAGUGGCACUUGCUUAGUCACCCCCGACAUAGCAGACCAUGUUUCCCAGCUGUCUUGAAGAAGCCCAGAGCCCACUGGUGGAUGCUGGUGGAGUAUUUGGUCCGUGGUUUUGCCGAUUCACCCGGCCCUCCCUUCACUGCAGAGGAGGCUGCUGGGGAACUCAGCCUCCCUCCCGUGCCUUACAGAAGCACAGGUGCCCUUAUCCACCCUCCAACAGCCUUCUACCCACAGCAUCCUCAGGAGAGCUGGGGAGACCCUGGACAGCCCCUGCGGCCUGACUCCUCCACUCUGACCCCCACAGCCAAAAUGCCGAACCAUGGCUGGAUGAUCCUGUCUGUGCUUAAAAUUCUUUCUCAUUUUUUUCGUAAUGUUUACUCCCUUUCAAUCUUUCUCUUUAAUAUUACUUUUACUAGUAAGAACGACAAUAAAAAUUGUAACUAAUA